GUGCUCGCUUCGGCAGCACAUAUACUAAAAUUGGAAUGAUACAGAGAAGAUCAGCAUGGCCCCCGCGCAAGGAUGACAUGCAAAUUCGUGAAGCGUUCCACAUUUUU
ensembl:snRNA U6 U6 spliceosomal RNA